rnacentral:rRNA from 1 species
CCUACGGGAGGCAGCAGUGAGGAAUAUUGGUCAAUGGCCGGAAGGCUGAACCAGCCAUGCCGCGUGAAGGUUAGUGCCCUAUGGGCGUUAAACUUCUUUUGUGCGGGAGCAAUAAUGGUCACGUGUGGCCAGACGAGAGUACCGUACGAAUAAGCAUCGGCUAACUCCGUGCCAGCAGCCGCGGUAAUACGGGGGAUGCAAGCGUUAUCCGGAUUUAUUGGGUUUAAAGGGUGCGUAGGCUGUGAGGUAAGUCAGCGGUGAAAUGCCCCCGCUCAACGGGGUGAAGUGCCAUUGAUACUGCCUGGCUGGAAUGCGGAUGCCGUGGGAGGAAUGUGUGGUGUAGCGGUGAAAUGCAUAGAUAUCACACAGAACACCGAUUGCGAAGGCAUCUCACGAAGCCGCGAUUGACGCUGAUGCACGAAAGCGUGGGUAUCAAACAGGAUUAGAUACCCGGGUAGUC